CAAGGAAAGAAUAACAAGCUGCCGUACGAAUAUGAGUUCAUAUCAUGUGAUCUCUGUUUUGCAACCCACGGCGUCUGCUUCCUGAGGAACCACACAGGACGAGGAACAAGAAUAGGAAUAAAAACAGCACAAGGAUCAUGUUGCACUAUGUGUUCUCCAUUAGGAAUGCACGAUAUUGGACUAGAGCAUGAAGUGUCUCUCAUGGAGGAGUUAAAGGGGCUCUGGAGGUUCUGUGUUGCGCUGUUUGUGUCCAGUUUGAAGCCAGAAGUCAACGUUUGCGGCCUUUAUCGGCUCCCAGAUGACAGCAGGGGGACUAUAA
rnacentral:lncRNA from 1 species